GAGUUUGAUCCUGGCUCAGAAUCAACGCUGGCGGCGUGCCUCAGACAUGCAAGUCGAACGAUUAAACUUUCCUUCGGGAAAGAUAUAAAGUGGCGCACGGGUGAGUAACACGUAGGUAAUCUACCUUUGAGUGGGGAAUAACAAUCGGAAACGAUUGCUAAUACCGCAUAAUGCAGCGGCAUCGUAAGAUGACAGUUGUUAAAGGAGCAAUCCGCUUAAAGAGGAGCCUGCGGCAGAUUAGCUAGUUGGUAAGGUAAUGGCUUACCAAGGCUACGAUCUGUAACCGACCUGAGAGGGUGGUCGGUCACACUGACACUGAAUAACGGGUCAGACUCCUACGGGAGGCAGCAGUCGGGAAUUUUGGGCAAUGGGCGAAAGCCUGACCCAGCAACGCCGCGUGAAGGAUGAAGUAUUUCGGUAUGUAAACUUCGAAAGAAUAGGAAGAAUAAAUGACGGUACUAUUUAUAAGGUCCGGCUAACUACGUGCCAGCAGCCGCGGUAAUACGUAGGGACCAAGCGUUGUUCGGAUUUACUGGGCGUAAAGGGCGCGUAGGCGGCAGUUCAAGUCAGUUGUGAAAUCUCCGAGCUUAACUCGGAACGGUCAACUGAUACUGUUUUGCUAGAGUGCAGAAGGGGCAAUCGGAAUUCUUGGUGUAGCGGUGAAAUGCGUA
rnacentral:rRNA from 1 species